GAUCCUGGCUCAGAAUCAACGCUGGCGGCGCGCUUAACACAUGCAAGUCGCACGAGAAAGGGGAGCAAUCCCUGAGUACAGUGGCGCACGGGUGAGUAACACGUGGGUAAUCCACCCUUUAGUGGGGAAUAACCCUGGGAAACCGGGGCUAAUACCGCAUAAGCCUGAGAAGGGAAAGCAGCAAUGCGCUGAAGGAGGAGCUCGCGGCCGAUUAGCUAGUUGGUGGGGUAACGGCUCACCAAGGCGACGAUCGGUAGCCGGCCUGAGAGGGCACACGGCCACACUGGCACUGAAACACGGGCCAGACUCCUACGGGAGGCAGCAGUGGGGAAUCUUGCACAAUGGGGGAAACCCUGAUGCAGCGACGCCGCGUGAGCGAUGAAGCCCUUCGGGGUGUAAAGCUCUUUCGACGGGAACGAUAAUGACGGUACCCGGAGAAGAAGCUGCGGCUAACUACGUGCCAGCAGCCGCGGUAAUACGUAGGCAGCAAGCGUUGUUCGGAAUUACUGGGCGUAAAGAGUGUGUAGGCGGUGCUCUAAGUUCGGUGUGAAAUCUCCCGGCUCAACUGGGAGGGUGCGCCGGAAACUGGAGUGCUGGAGCGCGGGAGAGGAAAGCGGAAUUCCUGGUGUAGCGGUGAAAUGCGUAGAUAUCAGGAGGAAACACCGGCGGUGUAGACGGCUUUCUGGACCC
rnacentral:rRNA from 1 species